GGAGUCUUAGCUCAGUGGUAGAGCAACCGGCUGCAGUCCGGUAGGUCUCGUGUUCAAUCCACGAAGGCUCCU